UAUAAAUACAUUUUUUCUGAAUGUAGUAUAAACUCAACAUGUAGGAUUGAACAUGUGUUUACUUCACUAUUUUCUGAAACUCCACUGAAAUGUAAAUAAAGAGAUUUUAAAAGGCAUAAAAUGUCAAGGACAAAUAGAAUAGAAGUGAGAAAGACAGCAAUGACAUUUUGAGGCUGGAAAGUAGAAAUAGUAAAUGACACACAAACACUUCAAUUCUUCUUUCUUACUUUUUUUUUCUUAUCAUUUAUUCUUAGGAUUUGGCCAGAAUAGAUUUAGCUUUUAGGACGGCAUUUCCCAGGAGAAGGUGGAGCAUGAAUUACCAUGAGCUGGGCUAGGAACCUCCUGCUUUCCCACUGAUGAUUCGAUUGGCAGAAGUUCAGUUUGAAUAUUAGCUUAUAAAUUCCUUGCCAUGUGAUUUAUAAAACUCUAAAUGAUGUCCUAUCAUUCUAUAUCUUCAUAAAUAUUCAUAAUGGAAAGUUUGGAGUCUCUUUUAGUUCGUGUCAUUUAACCAGGAAGAUGCUAAUGUUUUUUUCUUCUUCUUCUUCUUAAACAUUGAUUUUGUGCUUUAAGCUUGCAUACUAGAUUGUUUGCAGGAAAAAUGUUAAUUUAAACUUUAAGUAAAAUAGUCUUGACCAAUGGAUCAUGAAUAAAAUGGACACAAAAAAAUCUGGGUAGAAUUUUUUUUUUUUUUUGGUACAGUACUGGUGAUUGAACUCAGUGUUACCCUGAGCUACAUCCCCAGCCAUUUUUAUUUUUACUUAUUGGGACAGGGUUUCACUAAGUUGCUGGGGCUGGCCUCAAACUUUUUGUUCCUCCUGCAUCAGCCUCCUGAGUUUCUGGGAGGGUGAACUCAAAAACGAAUUUUGUUCUGGCUCCUUUCUACUCUCUUCAAUAGUAACUUUGUGGGCACUUAUUAUGCUAGGAAAAUAUAAUUUUCAUCUUAUUUUAGCUAUAUUCUUAUGGUUUUCUGUUAUAAUGUAAUGAUUGAUCCCCCUCAAAAUUCAUAUGUUAGAAACCCUAAUGCCCCAAGUGACUGAAGCUUUCUCUGAAAAGCUUAGUGUUGUUAUAAAAAAGAGACACAAGAUCUCACAUUCUCUAUCUUCCUACCCUCUUUCCUUAUCUCUCUCUAUUUUUUUUAUUAUUGGUUGUUCAAAACAUUACAAAGCUCUUGACAUAUCAUAUUUCAUACAUUUGAUUCAAGUGGGUUAUGAACUCCCAUUUAUACCCCAUAUACAGAUUGCAGAAUCACAUCGGUUACACAUCCACGUUUUUACAUAGUGCCAUACUAGUGACUCUUGUGUUUUAUUCUGCUGCCUUUCCUAUCCUCUACUAUCCCCCCUGCCCUCC
rnacentral:lncRNA from 1 species